UGCGUAGGGGGCAAGCGUUGUCCGGAUUCAUUGGGCGUAAAGAGCGUGUAGGCGGCCAGGUAGGUCGGUUGUGAAAACUGGAGGCUCAACCUUCAGACGUCGACCGAAACCAUCUGGCUAGAGUCCGGGAGAGGAGAGUGGAAUUCCUGGUGUAGCGGUGAAAUGCGCAGAUAUCAGGAAGAACACCCGUGGCGAAAGCGGCUCUCUGGAACGGUACUGACGCUGAGACGCGAAAGCGUGGGGAGCGAACAGG
rnacentral:rRNA from 1 species